GACGAACGCUGGCGGCGUGCUUAACACAUGCAAGUCGUGCGGUAAGGCCCUUUCGGGGGUACACGAGCGGCGAACGGGUGAGUAACACGGGAGCAACCUGCCCUUCACGUUGGGAUAACUGCCGAAAACGGUGGCGAAUACCGGAUAUGACUUCCUCACGCAUGUGGGGUGGUGGAAAGCCUUCGGGUGGUGGGGGAUGGGCUCGCGGUCUAUCAGCUGGUUGGUGGGGUGAUGGCCUACCAAGGCUUCGACGGGUAGCCGGCCGGAGAGGGUGACCGGCCACACUGGGACUGAGCCACGGCCCAGACUCCUACGCGACUCACCGGUGGGAGAUAUUGCACAAUGCGCGCACGCCUGCCCCAGCAACGCGGCGUGAGGGAUGAAGGCCUUCGGGUUGCAAGCCUCUUUAGCCUGCGACGAAGAGAGCGUGCCGGUAGCAGGUAAAGAAGCCCCGGCCAACUACGUG
rnacentral:rRNA from 1 species